rnacentral:rRNA from 1 species
GUGGGGAAUAUUGGACAAUGGGCGCAAGCCUGAUCCAGCAAUGCCGCGUGGGUGAAGAAGGCCUUCGGGUCGUAAAGCUCUGUCGCAGGGGAAUAACACAAUGAAGGUACCCUGUAAGAAAGGAUCGGCUAACUUCGUGCCAGCAGCCGCGGUAAGACGAGGGAUCCUAGCGUUGUUCGGAAUCAUUGGGCGUAAAGCGGAUGUAGGUGGCUAUGUAAGUCAGAUGUGAAAGCCUGGGGCUCAACCCCAGAAGUGCAUUUGAUACUGCGUAGCUUGAGUGUCGGAGAGGUUACUAGAAUUGUUGGUGUAGUGGUGAAAUACGUAGAUAUCAACAGGAAUACCGGAGGCGAAGGCGGGUAACUGGCCGAACACUGACACUGAGAUCCGAAAGCGUGGGGAUCAAACAGGAUUAGAAACCCGUGUAGUCC